GAACGCUUGCUGCAUGCUUUAUACAUGCAAGUCGAACGGAGGCCCUAGCUUGCUAGGUGUCCUUAGUGGCGCACGGGUGAGUAACACGUGGGAACAUACCUUAUAGUACGGAAUAACUGCGGGAAACUGUAGCUAAUACCGUAUAUUCCAGUAAUGGGAAAGAUUUAUCGCUAUAAGAUUGGCCCGCGCAAGAUUAGCUUGUUGGUGAGGUAAAAGCUCACCAAGGCUUCGAUCUUUAGCUGGUUUGAGAGGACGAUCAGCCACACUGGGACUGAGACACGGCCCAGACUCCUACGGGAGGCAGCAGUAGGGAAUAUUGGACAAUGGGGGCAACCCUGAUCCAGCAAUGCAGCGUGAGUGACGAAGGCCUUAGGGUUGUAAAACUCUUUCAUCGGUGAGGAUAAUGACAGUAGCCGAAGAAGAAGGACCGG
rnacentral:rRNA from 1 species